UAUUAGUGGGGGACAACAUCUCGAAAGGGAUGCUAAUACCGCAUACGUCCUACGGGAGAAAGCAGGGGAUCUUCGGACCUUGCGCUAAUAGAUGAGCCUAAGUCGGAUUAGCUAGUUGGUGGGGUAAAGGCCUACCAAGGCGACGAUCUGUAGCGGGUCUGAGAGGAUGAUCCGCCACACUGGGACUGAGACACGGCCCAGACUCCUACGGGAGGCAGCAGUGGGGAAUAUUGGACAAUGGGGGGAACCCUGAUCCAGCCAUGCCGCGUGUGUGAAGAAGGCCUUAUGGUUGUAAAGCACUUUAAGCGAGGAGGAGGCUACUUUAGUUAAUACCUAGGGAUAGUGGACGUUACUCGCAGAAUAAGCACCGGCUAACUCUGUGCCAGCAGCCGCGGUAAUACAGAGGGUGCGAGCGUUAAUCGGAUUUACUGGGCGUAAAGCGUGCGUAGGCGGCUUAUUAAGUCGGAUGUGAGAUCCCCGAGCUUAACUUGGGAAUUGCAUUCGAUACUGGUGAGCUAGAGUAUGGGAGAGGAUGGUAGAAUUCCCGGUGUAGCGGUGAAAUGCGUAGAGAUCUGGAGGAAUACCGAUGGCGAAGGCGGGCGUCUGGACUAAUACUGACGCUGAGGUACGAAAGCAUGGGGAGCAAACAGGAUUAGAUACCCUGGUAGUCCAUGCCGUAAACGAUAUCGACUAGCCGUUGGGGCCUUUGAGGCUUUAGUGGCGCAGCUAAUGCGAUAACUAGACCGCCUGGGGAGUACGGUCGCAAGACUAAAACUCAAAUGAAUUGACGGGGGCCCGCACAAUCGGUGGAGCAUGUGGUUUAAUUCCAUGCAACGCGAAGAACCUUACCUGGCCUUGACAUACUAGAAACUUUCCAGAGAUGGAUUGGUGCCUUCGGGAAUCUAGAUACAGGUGCUGCACGGCUGUCGUCAGCUCGUGUCGUGAGAUGUUGGGUUAAGUCCCGCAACGAGCGCAACCCUUUUCCUUACUUGCCAGCA
rnacentral:rRNA from 1 species